CCCCGAUAACGGGCGGUGGCUCCGCCCGCCCCGCGCCGGGGAUCUCUGGCCGCGCACGGGAGCGCCGCGUCCGUUCCCCGAGGACGGGGACGUGGGAGGACUGGGGAGAAUGGCGGCUUCCCCUCGGGUGGAGACCUGGAGAGGAAUUUCUCACGCUGAUGGAGGUUUGUCGGAGUGUCACAACCAGCGCAUUUCCAGUUCUCCACUAUUUUUCGUGCUUUCUUAGGCCGGGUAGCAGCCAUGCUGUGCUUGGUCCUGAGGUUCUCCCCCAUGGAUGGGCGACUUUUAAGAAGAGUUCUGGCACCACACAGAGCUUUUUCUCAGGAAUUAUGUAAAUUGGCCGAGCUUGAAAUGCAGCCAGAGAGAUUACUUUCCAUAUUUCUAUAUCCUUGAGAGGAUGUAUUUCACUUUAUCUGAUGUGGUGCCUUAUUCUGCUGUAAAUAUCUGAUAUCUCUGACAGGCUGUUAGCAACAUCGUUCAGUGAUUCAGCCUGGGACAUGUUUAUUAUCUUGCAUUCUAUUAAAUUGUUCUGUGCGAUCCUUUUGAAAAUCAGUCGUUGCUGUCUAAUUGGCUGAUUUCAUUCACUAAUAGAUCAUUAGAUGUAAUAAUUUUUUGGCACCUGUUAAAGAACAAUAUUAGAAAAUGGUUGAGAUGUUUCUUUCAAUACCUUCAGUGGAAUUUACAUUGUUAUUCUGAACUCUUGAACUGGUGUAAUUCCAGUGCUGUCGUUUAAGAUACUACUUAUUGUGGUAGAGAGGAGAGGAAGAUGAUGUUCCUGGGAUGGGCAGAGACACUUCUUGUAGCAAAAGGCAUGUUGUUGUCUGGUCCAGGACCUUGAUGGGACAGACAGAGUGCUGCAGCUUUUAUCCAACAGCAUCCCUGGGGCUGUGAUUUUGGGGCAGGACACAUACAGGGGCUCUGCUGUUGGGGGAGCAGGGUGUCCUGCCUUGCAAUUAAAAAGGGGGGACAGGUGAUAAUCCUUGAGAAGAAGCUGGUGAGAUGGGAUGGGAGAGUGCGAGGGAAGGAGUUUCCUUGGAAUCGCAACAAUUCUGGAAAUGCUGAGCUCACUGUAAACAAGCAAAGGCCUUUUGUUGUCUUGGCGUAGAAGAAAUUAACCCAAAAUAGAUUUUAAAGCAUCACUGGCAUCGUAAUAGUUAAUGGAGAUUCUGAGAGCAUCGAUCCAAAACUGCUGCCUGCCUUUGGGAUUUCAAAUGGAUGGCACUUCCAUUACGGCAAGCUCAGCUGUGUUAGGCCAUGACGGAUAUUGAUGAGAUAACAAGUUUGCUGUAUUGAUGCUGACCAAGAGCGCUGUCUGCUCAAACUCAUCUAACACCGGACUAAAACUCUGUUUUACAAAGCGGCUGCUAAACCAGAGAUGAAGUACUGAAAGCUUUUGGUGCUGGUUUGAAUGGAGAUGUGCCUUUGUGUGCUGGUGAUGCUGAACAUCAACCCGCUAUAGACUCAGGCCUGCAAAAUGCCCGAGGAUAAGCCAGGAUAAACUCAUCACUCAUUUGGGGGGAAGCACAAUUCCCCCCAAUGUCAGCUCCAGCACAUAAGAUCUUCCAGCCUUCUCCUCAUGGAACCCCAAACCCAGAAGAUCUUGUCUCAUCUCAUCCCAUCCCAACAGCUCUGGAGUCAGACGAAAUACUUAGCAGCCACUGUUUUAGCUUGUGCCUUGCUGCUUUUUAAUUAGGCACUGCCAGUAUGUACCGUGGGCUGGCGGCUGAGAUUCAAAAGCAUCUUCCUGGUCCUUUUGAAAACAACCGGAUGAGCAGCCUUCGAACAAUCUGGUGUGCGCCUCAGCAUCUCCCAACGACUGCAUCCCACACUGCUGAGUCAGCUUGCCUGCUUCGGCUCCGAGUGCUUCUCCCCUACCAUGCCUACUGCCUGAGGGCACGUGCAAAGAGCUCUUUUUUUUUUUUUGAUAAGUGCUCUUUAUAUAUAUUUUCAUUUUCCAGUGUUAUUUUCCUCAAUACAAAAUCUAUCCUCGGUGCUUUGCUCUGAUGCAGUGCAAAGAUGGUUUUGUAAAAGGUUCUGAAAGGGUCAUUGCCAGUGGAAGAGGUUGAAUAACGUAGCUGUACAGUUCCUUAUGAAAUUGAAGAUGUGAUUAUUUAAAAGAGAUUGUAAUAAAAAUAGUUUCUGAUGUUGGUGGAUGCAUUUCGGCAGAGAAAUGUGGUUUAAAUGUCUUCAUUUAAUUCCAGUGUGUUUAAAAUUGAUCUCAUGGACCGGAAAAGAGAUUUUUUUUCCUCCCUUAACUAGGGUCUGUGAAGGAAAUUAAUAUAGGGAAGGGAAAAUAGAAAUACAAUACUAGACUCAGUGAAACAAAUGCUUAUGACUGAGGGGUUCGUUACUUGCCAGCACCACUGGAAAAGCCAGCUGCAUAAGGUAUGUUUUAUUAUAGAAUUAACCUUGACCUGGGGUUCAAAGAGAAAGGUUAGUUGGAAAUAAAUCAGUUGUAUGGUCAGGUCACUUCAAAGAGUCUAAAGCUGAGCUCGAAGAUUACAUGCUGUUUAUGUGUAUCCAGUUGGAAUAGAACAUAUGGUAAAGAUAAUAGAAAUAAACUAUUUAUCUCUUCACCCCCCCCUCUUUAGGAUUUUACGCCUUUUUGUCCUUUGCGUAUAUUUGCUGCAGGGGGAUGUUUUUGUCCUGAGAGAUUUAUUGAAAACAGAAAUGUGGAAUAAAAUGUUUUUAAGUCAGCUGGGUGAAA